GCCGGUGUGGCGGAAUUGGUAGACGCGCGCGACUCAAAAUCGCGUUCCCUCUGGGAGUGAGAGUUCGAGUCUCUCCACCGGUA
rnacentral:tRNA from 1 species